rnacentral:rRNA from 1 species
GAUAAACGCUGGCGGCGUGCCUAACACAUGCAAGUCGAACGAUCCCGCAAGGGAGAGUGGCGGAAGGGUGAGUAACACGUGGGAAUCUACCUCCUCGCAGGGAACAACCUCUCGAAAGAGAGGCUAAUACCCAAAGGGUCAGAAAUGAUCAGAGUCGAAAGGCGUGAGGAGAGGAGCCCGCGGCCCAUCAGCUAGUUGGUGAGGUAAUGGCUUACCAAGGCUACGACGGGUAGGGGAUCUGAGAGGAUGUCCCCCACACUGGAACUGAAACACGGUCCAGACGCCUACGGGUGGCAGCAGUGAGGAAUAUUGGACAAUGGGCGAAAGCCCGAUCCAGCAACGCCGCGUGGAGGAUGAAGGCCUUCGGGUCGUAAACUUCUUUAGAGGGAGACGAGAAAGGACGGUAUCCCUAGAAUAAAGCGACGGCAAACUACGUGCCAGCAGCCGCGGUAAU